UGGCGACCGGCGCACGGGUGAGUAACGCGUAUCCAACCUGCCCUUUACUAUGGGACAGCCCGUCGAAAGGCGGAUUAAUACCGUAUGUUGUCAUGUUGAUGCAUAUUUUCAUGACCAAAGGCUUCGGCCGGUAAAGGAUGGGGAUGCGUCUGAUUAGCUUGCCGGCGGGUAACGGCCCACCGGGGCGACGAUCAGUAGGGGUUCUGAGAGGAAGGUCCCCCACAUUGGAACUGAGACACGGUCCAAACUCCUACGGAAGGCAGCAG
rnacentral:rRNA from 1 species